rnacentral:tRNA from 1 species
GCCGUGGUGUAGGGGUAUCACAUCUGCUUCGCAUGCAGAAGGCUCCGGGUUCAAUUUCCGGUACGUCCA